rnacentral:rRNA from 1 species
UUGGAGGGCAAGUCUGGUGCCAGCAGCCGCGGUAAUUCCAGCUCCAAUAGCGUAUAUUAAAGUUGUUGCAGUUAAAAAGCUCGUAGUUGAAUUUCGGGGUUAGUAGGUUGGUCAUGCCUCCGGUAUGUACUGGCCUCACUGAUUCCUCCUUCCUGAUGAGCCGUAAUGCCAUUAAUUUGGUGUUGCGAGGAAUCUGGACUGUUACUUUGAAAAAAUUAGAGUGUUUAAAGCAGGC